GGGCCAAGAAACAGCAGACUGGCAUCAGCCAGGAGCUUGUUACAGACCGACGAAAUCAGAUUCGACAUUUAAUAAGCUCUCUACAUGAUUUAUGUGCCCAUUAGAGCCUGGGGUUCAAACCAAGGGUUUUUUUUUUCCUUCUGUGUGACCUUUGUGAAAUUACUUAACCCCUCUGAGCCUCAUUUACAAACUGUUUAUAAACUCAUUUGUAAACUAGUGAGAAGUAAUGCAUGCACGCUGUGCGUGCCACGUCCAUAGUAGGUGGUCUGUAAAUGACAGUGGUGAUGGUGAUGCUGAUGGUGAUGAUAAUUUCAGCAUUGCCAAAAGUACUCACCUCCUAGCACAAGUAGUAAGUGAUCAUGUUUAAAUCAAGAUGACUGGAUUCCCCCUCAGCCAUAAACAUUUGCCUCUCACCCUCAUUCCUAAGAGAAUUAAUAUCAAACAAGGGGGGUUUUAAGCUUCAGAUGGCCCCACACACAUACAAAUAAAGAAUAUUGGGGAAGCAGAAGAAACAUGGAUUUUUGCUGGCUUACAGGCUGAAUUCAGCUGCCCCAUGACUUCACAGCUGUUCCUGCCGCCCUAAAGUGUCUGUCCCUUCAGCUCUGUCCCCUCAGCUGGGUCCGCAACGCUGAGUCUGGGAUUUUCUUAUGAAAAUGCCUGAUGGGUGGGAGGAAGAUCUGGAGUGGAGAUUCCUGUCCUGUCAUUUUACUGACAGACAAGCCACUACAGGCUCUUUCCCAGAAGUUGACCGAAGAAACUCAAGCACUGCUGUUUCUUCCCUCCCAAGUCCGGUGUGCCGCCUGGUAAUGGAUUGCUUUUCUCUGAGCUUCCACCCUGGAGAGACCCCCCAGGUCUAGUCUGUGAACCCAGCU
rnacentral:lncRNA from 1 species